rnacentral:rRNA from 1 species
GGGUUGUGAGGUUAAGCGACUAAGCGUACACGGUGGAUGCCUAGGCAAUCAGAGGCGAUGAAGGACGUGCUAAUCUGCGAUAAGCGUCGGUAAGGUGAUAUGAACCGUUACAACCGACGAUUUCCGAAUGGGGAAACCCAGUGCAAUCCGUUGCACUAUCGUUUGAUGAAUACAUAGUCAAACGAAGCGAACCGGGGGAACUGAAACAUCUCAGUACCCCGAGGAAAAGAAAUCAACCGAGAUUCCCCUAGUAGCGGCGAGCGAACGGGGAGCAGCCCAGAGUCUUAAUCAGCAUUAGCAUCAGGAGAACGGUCUGGAAAGUCCGGCAGUAAAGGGUGAUAGCCCCGUAUCCGAAGGUGUUAGUGUUGUGAACUCGACGAGUAGGGCGGGACACGUGUUAUCCUGUCUGAAUAUGGGGGGACCAUCCUCCAAGGCUAAAUACUCCUGAUUGACCGAUAGUGAACCAGUACCGUGAGGGAAAGGCGAAAAGAACCCCGGCGAGGGGAGUGAAAUAGAACCUGAAACCGUGUACGUACAAGCAGUGGGAGCACCUUUAGGGUGUGACUGCGUACCUUUUGUAUAAUGGGUCAGCGACUUAUAUUCUGUAGCAAGGUUAACCGUAUAGGGGAGCCGUAGGGAAACCGAGUCUUAACUGGGCGAAUAAGUUGCAGGGUAUAGACCCGAAACCCGGUGAUCUAGCCAUGGGCAGGUUGAAGGUUGGGUAACACUAACUGGAGGACCGAACCGACUAAUGUUGAAAAAUUAGCGGAUGACUUGUGGCUGGGGGUGAAAGGCCAAUCAAACCGGGAGAUAGCUGGUUCUCCCCGAAAGCUAUUUAGGUAGCGCCUCGUGAACUCAUCUUCGGGGGUAGAGCACUGUUUCGACUAGGGGGUCAUCCCGACUUACCAACUCGAUGCAAACUACGAAUACCGAAGAAUGUUAUCACGGGAGACACACGGCGGGUGCUAACGUUCGUCGUGAAGAGGGAAACAACCCAGACCGCCAGCUAAGGUCCCAAAGUCAUAGUUAAGUGGGAAACGAAGUGGGAAGGCUCAGACAGCCAGGAUGUUGGCUUAGAAGCAGCCAUCAUUUAAAGAAAGCGUAAUAGCUCACUGGUCGAGUCGGCCUGCGCGGAAGAUGUAACGGGGCUAAACUAUGCACCGAAGCUGCGGCAGCGAUAUUUAGAUAUUGUUGGGUAGGGGAGCGUUCUGUAAGCCUGUGAAGGUGUGCUGUGAGGCAUGCUGGAGGUAUCAGAAGUGCGAAUGCUGACAUAAGUAACGAUAAUGCGGGUGAAAAACCCGCACGCCGGAAGACCAAGGGUUCCUGUCCAACGUUAAUCGGGGCAGGGUGAGUCGACCCCUAAGGCGAGGCAGAAAUGCGUAGUCGAUGGGAAACGGGUUAAUAUUCCCGUACUGGUGAUAAUUGCGAUGGGGGGACGGAGAAGGCUAGGCUAUCCGGGCGACGGUUGUCCCGGUUUAAGGAUGUAGGCAGGUGAAUUAGGCAAAUCCGGUUCACUACAUGCUGAGGUCCGAUGACGAGUCACUACGGUGAUGAAGUAGCUCAUGCCCCGCUUCCAGGAAAAGCCUCUAAGCUCUAGAUUAUCAUUAAUCGUACCCCAAACCGACACAGGUGGUCAGGUAGAGAAUACUCAGGCGCUUGAGAGAACUCGGGUGAAGGAACUAGGCAAAAUGGUGCCGUAACUUCGGGAGAAGGCACGCUGGCAUUAGGUGAAGUGAUUUACUCAUGGAGCUGAAGCCAGUCGCAGAUACCAGCUGGCUGCAACUGUUUAUUAAAAACACAGCACUGUGCAAACACGAAAGUGGACGUAUACGGUGUGACGCCUGCCCGGUGCUGGAAGGUUAAUUGAUGGGGUUAUCCGUAAGGAGAAGCUCUUGAUCGAAGCCCCAGUAAACGGCGGCCGUAACUAUAACGGUCCUAAGGUAGCGAAAUUCCUUGUCGGGUAAGUUCCGACCUGCACGAAUGGCGUAAUGAUGGCCAGGCUGUCUCCACCCGAGACUCAGUGAAAUUGAACUCGCUGUGAAGAUGCAGUGUACCCGCGGCAAGACGGAAAGACCCCGUGAACCUUUACUAUAGCUUGACACUGAACAUUGAGCCUUGAUGUGUAGGAUAGGUGGGAGGCUUUGAAGUGUGGACGCCAGUCUGCAUGGAGCCAACCUUGAAAUACCACCCUUUAAUGUUUGAUGUUCUAACGUUGCCCCAUUAUCUGGGGUGCGGACAGUGUCUGGUGGGUAGUUUGACUGGGGCGGUCUCCUCCCAAAGAGUAACGGAGGAGCACGAAGGUUGGCUAAGCAUGGUCGGACAUCAUGCGGUUAGUGCAAAGGCAUAAGCCAGCUUGACUGCGAGAGUGACGGCUCGAGCAGGUACGAAAGUAGGUCUUAGUGAUCCGGUGGUUCUGAAUGGAAGGGCCAUCGCUCAACGGAUAAAAGGUACUCCGGGGAUAACAGGCUGAUACCGCCCAAGAGUUCAUAUCGACGGCGGUGUUUGGCACCUCGAUGUCGGCUCAUCACAUCCUGGGGCUGAAGUAGGUCCCAAGGGUACGGCUGUUCGCCGUUUAAAGUGGUACGCGAGCUGGGUUUAGAACGUCGUGAGACAGUUCGGUCCCUAUCUGCCGUGGGCGUUGGAAGAUUGAAAGGGGCUGCUCCUAGUACGAGAGGACCGGAGUGGACGCACCACUGGUGUUCGGGUUGUCAUGCCAAUGGCAUUGCCCGGUAGCUAAGUGCGGAAGAGAUAACCGCUGAAAGCAUCUAAGCGGGAAACUUGCCUUGAGAUGAGUCUUCCCUGACUCUUUAAGGGUCCUAAAGGAACGUUUAAGACUAAGACGUUGAUAGGUUGGGUGUGUAAGCGUAGCGAUACGUUGAGCUAACCAAUACUAAUGAACCGUGAGGCUUAACCUGACAACACCGAAGGUGUUUUAG